rnacentral:rRNA from 1 species
GACGAACGCUGGCGGCGUGCCUAAUACAUGCCAGUUGAGCGCUGAAGGUUGGUACUUGUACCAACUGGAUGAGCAGCGAACGGGUGAGUAACGCGUGGGGAAUCUGCCUUUGAGCGGGGGACAACAUUUGGAAACGAAUGCUAAUACCGCAUAAAAACUUUAAACACAAGUUUUAAGUUUGAAAGAUGCAAUUGCAUCACUCAAAGAUGAUCCCGCGUUGUAUUAGCUAGUUGGUGAGGUAAAGGCUCACCAAGGCGAUGAUACAUAGCCGACCUGAGAGGGUGAUAGGCCACAUUGGGAAUGAGACACGGCCCAAACUCCUACGGGAGGCAGCAGUAGGGAAUCUUCGGCAAUGGACGAAAGUCUGACCGAGCAACGCCGCGGGAGGGAAGAAGGGUGUCGGAUCGUAAAACUCUGUUGGUAGAGAAGAACGUUGGUGAGAGUGGAAAGCUCAUCAAGUGACGGUAACUACCCAGAAAGGGACGGCUAACUACGUG